CUGGAAAACAAUAUUUACAUUUAGGCAGUCCUGCGAUCGUCACACUUUUUCUGUUACGAACUGACCCCAGCCCCCCACCAGAGAAGGAAAAAGUUAUGCGGCCCUCACAGGAAAAAGUUUGGGGACCCCUGAUUUAAAACCUAUUUAGUUUUACAAUAACAAGACCUCAGUUUUUGUUACCUACACAAAUCCAUGUGUGUUAGUUCAUUUUUUUGAUGCCUACAGUUCAGUUCGACGAUACAAAAAGGUAAAAAUAAAGAAAACCCCUUUAUUAUGUAGGUAUCUAAACUUUGAAACAGUGCUGUGUAUGCAGUAUGUAAUGUGGUUCAUCUCACAAUGAUGAACCAAAUAAAAUGUAGUAGCAACAGUGGCAGUCACUGGGAGUUGUGUUUGUGUUCAGCUGAUGUUAAUCCAGUUUCUCUCUCAUUUACAUCUUCCUCCUCCUGAUUUUCAUUCUUGAAGUGCUAAAUGCUGCACUAUGUUCACAAGUUUGUCUCCUUGUGGCUAUACUGUACAGAAUCAGCUGUAAUGAAAGGUUUUCUCAUACAAGUGUCCUGUGCUUCUGUUUAUCUUUCAGGAAACAAGUAGUGGAGACCACAAAGGAAGGCAGUAAACCUAUGAAUUUGUCAUGGCCCCUCCCUCCCCUGUGCUGCACUUCUGGCCAGCUGUCAGCUUUGGCUGAUUCGGAGCGGCUGUGGAGGAGCACAGCUGUUCUGACUCUACAAUCAGCGGCUCCUAAAACCUGGCUCUCCUGACUACUCGGUGCUGGGCCAUUACCUGAAGUUCAUCUGUCUGGGUUGCUGCUGUCACAGUUGCUUCUGCCUCUGUCACCAGCCACUUAGUUUGAUGAUCCACCUGCUCCUGCCUGCUGCUGGAACCUGCCCUGAAUUCUGCCCUGGAUUCCUUCACACGUGCUGAAGCCCAGCCCGAGCAUCUUAGUUAGGGCAUUCGUUUGUAUAGACUUUGUUUUUGAGCCUUGCUUAAGUUCCCUUUUCUUAUAGUCAAAACAAGCCCUCUAGCUUUGUCUUUAGUUGUGUUCUCCAGAGUUUGAGUAGUCAUGUUAAUGAUUUUGUGUUCAGUUCUUAUCUGGGUGUGACCCCCUGUAGUUAUAGCCUCAGUUUGUUCCACCCACCACCAGUAGCAGCAUGCUCUCUGCCUUAGUACCCUGCUUGUAGUUUUCUGACUGCGAUUGUCACUUCAGCUUCUCGUAUUAAAGCCUUUUGAAUCAA